rnacentral:misc_RNA from 1 species
UCCAAUUUAUCACUGGCAGUUUUUUUAAAGUUCUCAGCUUAAUCCUGUUAGCAACUAAAAAUAGGGGUUGCGCCCGUUAAAGGACUUAACCCAACAUCUCACGACACGAGCUGACGACAGCCAUGCACCACCUGUGCGAAGUCCAGCCAAACUGACUGCUUAAUCUCUUAAGCAUACGACUUCCAUGUCAAGAGCUGGUAAGGUUUUUCGCGGAUUAUCGAAUUAAACCACAUGCUCCACCGCUUGUGCGGGUCCCCGUCAAUUCCUUUGAGUUUUAGUCUUGCGACCGUACUCCCCAGGCGGAUUGCUUAACGCGUUAGCUUCAACACUGAGAAUUUUUCAUUCCCAACGUUUAGCAAUCAUAGUUUAGGGCGUGGACUAC